rnacentral:rRNA from 1 species
UACGUAGGGGGCAAGCGUUGUCCGGAUUUAUUGGGCGUAAAGAGCGUGUAGGCGGCCUUACAGGUCAGCUGUGAAAACUCGAGGCUCAACCUCGAGACGUCGGUUGAAACCGUAUGGCUAGAGUCCGGAAGAGGAGAGUGGAAUUCCCGGUGAUAGCGGUGAAAUGCGGAGAUAUCGGGAAGAACACCCGUGGCGAAGGCGGCUCUCUGGGACGGUACUGACGCUGAGACGCGAAAGCGUGGGGAGCGAACAGG